rnacentral:rRNA from 1 species
GACGAACGCUGGCGGCGUGCUUAACACAUGCAAGUCGAACGGAAAGGCCUCUUUCGGGGGGUACUCGAGUGGCGAACGGGUGAGUAACACGUGAGUAACCUGCCCUUGACUUUGGGAUAACUUCAGGAAACUGGGGCUAAUACCGGAUAGGAGCUCCUGCUGCAUGGUGGGGGUUGGAAAGUUUCGGCGGUUGGGGAUGGACUCGCGGCUUAUCAGCUUGUUGGUGGGGUAGUGGCUUACCAAGGCUUUGACGGGUAGCCGGCCUGAGAGGGUGACCGGCCCCAUUGGGACUGAGAUACGGCCCAGCCCCCUACGGGGGGCAGCCGGGGGGAAUAUUGCAAAAGGGGGGGAAGCCUGAUGCAGCAACGCCGUGGGCGGGAUGACGGCCUUCGGGUUGUAAACCGCUUUCGCCAAUGACGAACCUUUGUGUGGCGGGAGUGGGUAAAGAAGCACCGGCUAACUACGU